rnacentral:miRNA from 1 species
GCAGAUACAUUCCAGCCAAUCAGCAGCAGACCCUCCCUCCCAGACCCUCCCACCUCCUGGACAGCAUCCAUUUUACAUUCAUUGUGAAGCUGCAUUCUUAGUGAGCUGUCCAGGAGGUGGGAGGGUCUGGGAGGGAGGGUCUGCUGCUGAUUGGUUGGAAUGUGUCUG